GCGCUGAUAGAUGAGCCCAAGUCGGAUUAGCUAGUUGGUAGGGUAAUGGCCUACCAAGGCUACGAUCCGUAACUGGUCUGAGAGGACGACCAGUCACACCGGAACUGAGACACGGUCCGG
rnacentral:rRNA from 1 species